rnacentral:tRNA from 1 species
GCCCGGAUGGCGAAAUCGGUAGACGCAGGAGACUUAAAAUCUCCCGGCCACAAGCCGUGCGGGUUCGAGUCCCGCUCCGGGCACCA